UACGGAGGGUGCGAGCGUUGUCCGGAAUCAUUGGGCGUAAAGGGCGCGUAGGUGGCCCGGUCAGUUCGUGGUGAAAGCGCGGGGCUCAACCCUGCGUCGGCCAUGAAUACUGCCGCGGCUGGAGCACUGUAGAGGCAGGCGGAAUUCCGGGUGUAGCGGUGGAAUGCGUAGAGAUCCGGAAGAACACCGGUGGCGAAGGCGGCCUGACUGGGCAGUGCUGGACACUGAGGCGCGACAGCGUGGGGAGCAAACAGGG
rnacentral:rRNA from 1 species